GUUCAAUGUCUGACCUCUAGUUAGAAAAAUGACCUUCCUUGAGAGGGAGAACCAUUAGUUAUCAAAGAUUCACAUAGUUCUGUUGUAAUUAAACUUCUAUAUUAAAAGUGGUAAGAAAAGUAACUAAAGACCAACAUUAAAUCUGUUUUUAAAAAAAGCAAGAAGCAAUGGCUGGCUGAUGGUUAAAUGAAUGUUAAUGAAAGAAUGUUAUUAUAAUCUGCAUGGCCUAUUUUAAAGCUUAAGCAUGUUACACAUUAUUUUAUCAAAGAUUGUUAAAAUAAUAUUAAUAGCUUUAGACUUUAGAGGAAUAAAUGUUUUUGACUAAAAAACAUUUCAAUAGAAUAC
rnacentral:lncRNA from 1 species